CGGUAAUACGGAGGAUCCAAGCGUUAUCCGGAAUCAUUGGGUUUGGGAAAUCCGUAAGCGGUUUAGUAAGUCAGCAACAGGAAUUUGAUGCUCGGUCGUGGAACCCGGAUUGAUACUGCUAAACUUGAAUUAUUAGGAAGUAACUAGAAUAUGUAGUGUAGCGGUGAAAUGCUUAGAGAUUACAUGGAAUACCAAUUGCGAAGGCAGGUUACUACUAAUGGAUUGACGCUGAUGGACGAAAGCGUGGGUAGCGAACAGGAUUAGAUAUUUCGGUAGUCCACGCCGUAAACGAUGGAUACUAGCUGUUGGAAGCAAUUUCAGUGGCUAAGCAGGGAUGAUGGAUAUCCCACCUGGGGAGUACGUUCGCAAGAAUGAA
rnacentral:rRNA from 1 species